CACGGGGGGAGCGAACGUUGUUCGGAAUCACUGGGCGUAAAGGGCGUCUAGGCGGUCCGGUAAGUGAGAUGUGAAAGCCCUCGGCUCACCCGAGGAACUGCAUCUCAUACUGCUGGACUUGAGUGCGGGAGAGGAUGGGGGAAUUCCUGGUGUAGCGGUGAAAUGCGUAGAUAUCAGGAGGAACACCGGUGGCGAAGGCGCCCAUCUGGCCCGUUACUGACGCUGAAGCGCGAAAGCUAGGGGAGCAAAC
rnacentral:rRNA from 1 species